rnacentral:pre_miRNA from 1 species
GUGCUACUUACUUACUGCCCGAGGGAACGAGUGAAGCUGCCAGCAUGAUCUAGCUCAGCGUGAUCAAGCAAGAUUCACACAUACACGUGUGGUUUUUUUGAGCUAUAGCUCGAUUGAUCUUGAGGUCAUGCCUUGCUAGGUCAUGCUGCGGCAGCCUCACUUCUUCCCGCCGUUUGGGCAUGCACAGCUG